AGGCAAGAUCGGCCGAGAUGAACACAUCGGCGGGCGCGCCCUGCUCGAUCUGUUUC
rnacentral:sRNA from 1 species